rnacentral:rRNA from 1 species
GUAGUCCACGCCCUAAACGAUGUCAACUGGUUGUCGGGGAAGUUAUUCCUUGGUAACGAAGCUAACGCGUGAAGUUGACCGCCUGGGGAGUACGGCCGCAAGGUUAAAACUCAAAGGAAUUGACGGGGACCCGCACAAGCGGUGGAUUAUGUGGAUUAAUUCGAUGCAACGCGAAAAACCUUACCUACCCUUGACAUGUGCGGAAGGGGGUAGAGAUACCUCGGUGCCCGAAAGGGAACCGCAACACAGGUGCUGCAUGGCUGUCGUCAGCUCGUGUCGUGAGAUGUUGGGUUAAGUCCCGCAACGAGCGCAACCCUUGUCAUUAGUUGCCACAUUCAGUUGGGCACUCUAGUGAGACUGCCGGUGACAAACCGGAGGAAGGUGGGGAUGACGUCAAGUCCUCAUGGCCCUUAUGGGUAGGGCUUCACGCGUAAUACAAUGGCCGGUACAGAGGGCUGCCAACCCGCGAGGGGGAGCAAAUCCCAGAAAGCCGGUCGUAGUCCGGAUUGUUCUCUGCAACUCGAGAGCAUGAAGUCGGAAUCGCUAGUAAUCGCGGAUCAGCAUGUCGCGGUGAAUA